CGCUCGGNNGCACGCUCUAUAUACAUAGCAAGUGNNAGGCGNACUUGNUGAGAAGCUUGCUUCUCUGAUGGUUAGCGGCGGACGGGUGAGUAACACGUAGGCAACCUGCCCUCAAGCUUGGGACAACUACCGGAAACGGUAGCUAAUACCGAAUACUUGCUUUCUUCGCCUGAAGGNAGCUGGAAAGACGGAGCAAUCUGUCACUUGAGGAUGGGCCUGCGGCGCAUUAGCUAGUUGGUGAGGUAACGGCUCACCAAGGCGACGAUGCGUAGCCGACCUGAGAGGGUGAUCGGCCACACUGGGACUGAGACACGGCCCAGACUCCUACGGGAGGCAGCC
rnacentral:rRNA from 1 species